ACGGAAGCUUGGAUGAGGCCAAGGCUUAGCCGGAAGAGAAGGCUAAAUCUCCCGAACCAGGCUCCCCAGCACGGGUCCCGGUACCCACGCGGAGCACAUGCCGCGGAAUAGGCAAAAGUGUUGCGGGCCUGCGUGAUUGCGAAGAGCGGACGGCCACGACGGCCCUUUGGGUAGGGUUGCAGCCGAAGCGCAUUGCAAGGACGCCGAGGCCACCCACGCAACCCACGUUGGCACGCUUGGUAACCGGUAUCCGUGCUAGCGGGCGACGAGCCGAAACAUCGUUUCGGAACGUCGCCCGCUUUCGUUU
rnacentral:ncRNA from 1 species